rnacentral:rRNA from 1 species
UACGAAGGGUGCAACCGUUGCUCGGAAUUAUUGGGCGUAAAGCGCACGUAGGCGGCAUUGCAAGUCGGAUGUGAAAUCUUAUGGCUUAACCAUAAAAGUGCACCCGAAACUGCAGUGCUUGAGUACUUAAGAGGAUCGCGGAAUUCCCGGUGUAGAGGUGAAAUUCGUAGAUAUCGGGAGGAACACCAGUGGCGAAGGCGGCGAUCUGGGAAGAUACUGACGCUGAGGUGCGAAAGCGUGGGGAGCAAACAGG